rnacentral:rRNA from 1 species
GGAUCCCAUCAGAACUCCGCACGUAAGCGUGCUUGGGCGAGAGUAUUACUAGGAUGGGU